rnacentral:rRNA from 4 species
UACGCCCGAUCUCGUCCGAUCUCGGAAGCUAAGCAGGGCCGGGCCUGGUUAGUACUUGGAUGGGAGACCGCCUGGGAAUACCAGGUGCUGUAAGCUUGCUUACGGCCAUACCAGCCUG